rnacentral:tRNA from 1 species
CAGGGAGACAACAAAAUGUUUAAUAUUAUUAUUUUGUCACCUUAGGUCGAUCGGUAUCUCACGUUCUUAAUUUGUUAAGAAUUUCAUUUCCUAAGUUUUUCUAGGUCACACCCAUUAUUUUUCCUGGGCCAUUAGCUCAGGUGGUUAGAGCGCACCCCUGAUAAGGGUGAGGUCCCUGGUUCAAGUCCAGGAUGGCCCAUAUCUCUAUGUUGGGGGUAUAGCUCAGUUGGUAGAGCGCCUGCUUUGCAAGCAGGAUGUCAGCGGUUCGAGUCCGCUUACCUCCACUGAUUACCACCUCUUACAUAACUGUUAAAAAGGAAAUGUUUUGAGUUGUGAUCAUUAUUCUGAACGAAUCUAGCUUCCUAAUGAAAUCAUUAAGAUGCUGGACUCAUUGAAUUAAUUUCAUUGUUUUCAGAGAACCUUGACAACUGCAUAGAUUAUUUUUAAAGACAAUAAGCAUCUUUAAUGAUGCAGAUUUAUUAUUUGUGCGAAUGCAUUAAUAACAAUUCUAUUAAGCUGAUGCUUCAAUUUUUUGAAGUUAUU